UACGUAGGGGGCAAGCGUUGUUCGGAAUUACUGGGCGUAAAGGGCGCGUAGGCGGCCUGCUAAGUCGAACGUGAAAUCCCCGGGCUCAACCCGGGAACUGCGUCCGAUACUGGCAGGCUUGAAUUCGGGAGAGGGAUGCGGAAUUCCAGGUGUAGCGGUGAAAUGCGUAGAUAUCUGGAGGAACACCGGUGGCGAAGGCGGCAUCCUGGACCGAAAUUGACGCUGAGGCGCGAAAGCCAGGGGAGCAAACGGG
rnacentral:rRNA from 1 species